CAUAGCGACUAUCGUGGCAUAUCAAUAAGCGGAGGAAAAGAAACUAACAAGGAUUCCCUUAGUAACGGCGAGUGAAGCGGGAAGAGCUCAAAUUUGAAAUCUUCAAGGUUUUACCUUGACGAAUUGUAGUUUAAAGAAGUGUUUUCUGUUGAAGUUUUGGUAAAAGUUCUUUGGAAUAGGACAUCAUAGAGGGUGAGAAUCCCGUAUUUGACCAUUUCUUUCCAGCUGUGUGAUACACUUUCAAAGAGUCGGAUUGUUUGGGAAUGCAGUCCAAAAUGGGUGGUAAAUUUCAUCUAAAGCUAAAUACUGGCGAGAGACCGAUAGCGAACAAGUACCGUGAGGGAAAGAUGAAAAGAACUUUGAAAAGAGAGUUAAACAGUACGUGAAAUCGUCAAAAGGGAAGCGUUUGACACCAGUGUUGUUUUCUCGAAAAUCAAUUAAAAAUGGCGGGAUUUUGUGUUGUAUUGACUUUAUCAGCUUUCUGCACUUUUUUCCUGUCUUUUUUAAUGCACUUUUCGUUUAACAAGUCAACAUCAAUUUCUUUUGUUGUAAAAGGGUCAUUGGAAGGUGGCUUUCUUUUCGGAGAAAGUGUUUAUAGCCUUUGACUUCUGCAAUCGGAGAGAUUGAGGUCUGCAGCGUAGAUCCUUCGGGGUUAGAUACAUUUGUGCUAAGCUAUAGCCUUUCAUAGACAACCUGUUGACUAUGGUCAGUCAUGUAGCUUACUCGCUUAUGCUAUUUUACCUACGCUUAGGAUGUUGAAGAUAUGCGCGACACG
rnacentral:rRNA from 1 species